AUACGUAGGGGGCGAGCGUUGUCCGGAAUUACUGGGCGUAAAGGGCGCGUAGGCGGCCUUUUAAGUCAGAUGUGAAACCCCCGGGCUUAACCCGGGGAUGGCAUUUGAAACUGGGAGGCUUGAGUGCAGGAGAGGAAAGUGGAAUUCCUAGUGUAGCGGUGAAAUGCGUAGAGAUUAGGAGGAACACCAGUGGCGAAGGCGACUUUCUGGACUGUAACUGACGCUGAGGCGCGAAAGCGUGGGGAGCAAACAGGAUUAGAUACCCUGGUAGUCCACGCCGUAAACGAUGGAUACUAGGUGUAGGAGGUAUCGACCCCUUCUGUGCCGGAGUAAACACAAUAAGUAUCCCGCCUGGGGAGUACGGCCGCAAGGUUGAA
rnacentral:rRNA from 1 species